CCUACGGGAGGCAGCAGUGAGGAAUAUUGGACAAUGGGCGCAAGCCUGAUCCAGCCAUGCCGCGUGCAGGAAGACGCAUCUAUGGUGUGUAAACUGCUUUUGUACGGGAAGAAACACCCCCUCGUGAGGGGGCUUGACGGUACCGUAAGAAUAAGGAUCGGCUAACUCCGUGCCAGCAGCCGCGGUAAUACGGAGGAUCCAAGCGUUAUCCGGAAUCAUUGGGUUUAAAGGGUCCGUAGGCGGUUUGAUAAGUCAGUGGUGAAAGCCCAUCGCUCAACGAUGGAACGGCCAUUGAUACUGUCAGACUUGAAUUACUAGGAAGUAACUAGAAUAUGUAGUGUAGCGGUGAAAUGCUUAGAUAUUACAUGGAAUACCAAUUGCGAAGGCAGGUUACUACUAGUGGAUUGACGCUGAUGGACGAAAGCGUGGGGAGCGAACAGGAUUAGAUACCCUGGUAGUCCACGCCGUAAACGAUGGAUACUAGCUGUUCGGAGCAAUCUGAGUGGNGUAGACGAAGUAGAGUAAGUAUACCACCGUACGGGAGGUACGUUACGUCGAAGAAGAGAACGUAACGAAGUAGUAAGUUAGUACGGACGUGAGACGUAGACCGACGACGACGACGAGGGAGGAGG
rnacentral:rRNA from 1 species